rnacentral:rRNA from 1 species
UACGUAGGGGGCAAGCGUUGUCCGGAAUCAUUGGGCGUAAAGAGCGUGUAGGCGGCCCGACAAGUCCGCUGUGAAAGUCCAGGGCUCAACCCUGGAAUGCCAGUGGAAACUGUCGGGCUUGAGUCCGGAAGAGGCGAGUGGAAUUCCUGGUGUAGCGGUGAAAUGCGCAGAUAUCAGGAGGAACACCGAUGGCGAAGGCAGCUCGCUGGGACGGUACUGACGCUGAGACGCGAAAGCGUGGGGAGCGAACAGG